UGGGGGGGAUUUUCUAAAUGUAGCUGCUGUUGUGCGUUUCUAAAUCAUUUCUGCAUUUCCUCAAUGUUAUAACAUUUUAGAGGACUAACAGGCUAGAGUAGGCUAUAAUGUGUAAUAUAUCUAUGAGAUAAGAUUCCAUCAUAGAAUUUUGACAUAGCUUGAAGUGGGAGGGGCGCGCCGUGAGCGCUGAGCGAACAGGUACGAGUAGAAUUGUAAUCUAUGGAAAAAGAUGGCUAAAGCAAAAAUAGCUGUCUAGGGAUAAAAAUAGACAAAGGUAAAAGGAGAUGGCAUGUCAAGGGAUGCGACAUCAGUGAAUCAAGUGGACGGUGAAAGGCAACAGGUGUAAGGAUGGUGGAUCAGGAAAGACAGGGGAAGGCAGCAGUGGAGAAGAACACAGGCAAGGAGUGAAUGAGACAGACAGGUCGGCAAUGGCGUUAAGCAGAUGAGAUCAGUG